GACGAACGCUGGCGGCGUGCUUAACACAUGCAAGUCGAACGGACAGGCCCUGCUUUUGUGGGGUGCUCGAGUGGCGAACGGGUGAGUAACACGUGAGUAACCUGCCCUUGACUUUGGGAUAACUUCAGGAAACUGGGGCUAAUACCGGAUAGGAGCUCCUGCUGCAUGGUGGGGGUUGGAAAGUUUCGGCGGUUGGGGAUGGACUCGCGGCUUAUCAGCUUGUUGGUGGGGUAGUGGCUUACCAAGGCUUUGACGGGUAGCCGGCCUGGGAGGGUGACCGGCCACAUUGGGACUGAGAUACGGCCCAGACUCCUACGGGAGGCAGCAGUGGGGAAUAUUGCACAAUGGGCGGAAGCCUGAUGCAGCAACGCCGCGUGCGGGAUGACGGCCUUCGGGUUGUAAACCGCUUUCGCCUGUGACGAAGCGUGAGUGACGGUAAUGGGUAAAGAAGCACCGGCUAACUACGUG
rnacentral:rRNA from 1 species